rnacentral:rRNA from 1 species
GACGAACGCUGGCGGCGUGCUUAACACAUGCAAGUCGAACGGAAAGGCCCUGCUUGUGUGGGGUGCUCGAGUGGCGAACGGGUGAGUAACACGUGAGUAACCUGCCCUUGACUUUGGGAUAACUUCAGGAAACUGGGGCUAAUACCGGAUAGGAGCUCCUGCUGCAUGGUGGGGGUUGGAAAGUUUCGGCGGUUGGGGAUGGACUCGCGGCUUAUCAGCUUGUUGGUGGGGUAGUGGCUUACCAAGGCUUUGACGGGUAGCCGGCCUGAGAGGGUGACCGGCCACAUUGGGACUGUGAUACGGCCCAGACUCCUCCGGGAGGCAGCAGUGGGGAAUAUUGCACAAUGGGCGGAAGCCUGAUGCAGCAACGCCGCGUGCGGGAUGACGGCCUUCGGGUUGUAAACCGCUUUCGCCUGUGACGAAGCGUGAGUGACGGUAAUGGGUAAAGAAGCACCGGCUAACUACGUG